rnacentral:rRNA from 1 species
GUGGGGAAUAUUGGACAAUGGGCGCAAGCCUGAUCCAGCCAUGCCGCGUGAGUGAUGAAGGCCUUAGGGUUGUAAAGCUCUUUCAGUGGGGACGAUAAUGACGGUACCCACAGAAGAAGCCCCGGCUAACUUCGUGCCAGCAGCCGCGGUAAUACGAAGGGGGCUAGCGUUGUUCGGAUUUACUGGGCGUAAAGCGCACGUAGGCGGAUCGUUAAGUCGGGGGUGAAAUCCUGGAGCUCAACUCCAGAACUGCCUUCGAUACUGGCGAUCUUGAGUACGGAAGAGGUGAGUGGAACUCCUAGUGUAGAAGUGGAAUUCGUAGAUAUUAGGAAGAACACCAGUGGCGAAGGCGGCUCACUGGUCCGGUACUGACGCUGAGGUGCGAAAGCGUGGGGAGCAAACAGGAUUAGAUACCCUAGUAGUCC